rnacentral:rRNA from 1 species
GGGGGGGGGGGGGGGCGGGGGGGGGGCGGGGGGGGCGGGGGGGGGGGGGGUGCUGUGGUGGGGGGCUGGGGUGGCGGGCGGGGGGGUGGCCCGUGGGUAACCGGCCCGUGACUUUGGGAUGACUUCAGGAAACUGGGGCUUCUACCGGAUGGGCGCUCCUGCUGCAUGGGGGGGGUUGGAAAGUUUCGUCGGUUGGGGAUGGGCUCGGGGCUUAUCAGCUUGUUGGUGUGUUAGUGGGCUAACAAGGCUUUGCCGGGUAGCCGGCCUGAGUGGGGGACCGGACACAUGGGGAAUGAGAUACGGCCCAGACGCAGACGGGAGGCAGGAGUGGGGAAUAGUGCACAAUGGGCGGAAGCCUGAGGCAGCAACGACGCGUGCGGGAUGACGGCCGUCGGGUUGUAAACCGCUUUCGCCUGUGACGAAGCGUGAGUGACGGUAAUGGGUAAAGAAGCACCGGCUAACUACGUG